GGGGCUGUGGCUCAGUGGUAGAGCGUCUGCUUGCAGUGCUUAAGGUUCCAGGUUCGAUCCCCGGCAUCUCCA